AGAUGUGAGGGUGAUCAGGCAGUGACAUUGGUCACUCCAUUGAUCACUAGUAUCAAUUUGACUGAUCUGACUGACUAGGCUGGUGUCCCCUCUUCCUUCAUCACUCCUUGUGCUUCCCUCUGGAAGCUACACACUUGCUCAGUCGAGGAAGAUGACUUUCCCCAUUAGAGGAGGAUUGUUCUUCAGGCAAGGGUAUAGGAGUAGCUGUGUUCUCCUGCUAGAACUUCCAGACAACUCUCAGGGUGCACUUGUAGGAGCACUUAGGUAGUCCAGCUUUCAAGACUCCACACAUAUGCAAAUAAGGAGCUGCAGGUUGCAGUCUGCCUUUCUUU
rnacentral:snRNA from 1 species